rnacentral:tRNA from 1 species
GAGGGUAGAGCUCAGUGGUAGAGUGCGUGCCUAGCAUGCACAAGGGCCUGGAUUCGAUCCGCAGUACCUCCA